CUUUGGGGCAUUUUUUCAACAAUAAGUCUGAGAGGUCCUGGCCUCUAGCCACCACCAUGUGCCUUUUAAAAUGUAUUGGAUUGGCGGCUGAUCACAGCCAUGAAGGCGGGACCAUGGAGACACUGAACAUCAGUGCUACAUGUUUUGCAGCACUACCCCAAGAAGCAACUCAAGUAACCAUAUUAGGAGUGGUCAGUGGAGGUAUCCCUGGG